CCUACGGGGGGCAGCAGUGGGGAAUAUUGGGCAAUGGGCGCAACCCUGACCCAGCAACGCCGCGUGAAGGAAGAAGUCUUUCGGUUUGUAAACUUCUUUUAGCAGGGACGAAACAAAUGACGGUACCUGACGAAUAAGCCACGGCUAACUACGUGCCAGCAGCCGCGGUAAUACGUAGGUGGCAAGCGUUAUCCGGAUUUACUGGGUGUAAAGGGAGUGUAGGCGGGACUGCAAGUCAGAUGUGAAAGGCGCGGGCUCAACCUGUGGACUGCAUUUGAAACUGUAGUGCUGGAGUGCUGGAGAGGCAAAUGGAAUUCCUAGUGUAGCGGUGAAAUGCGUAGAUAUUAGGAGGAACACCAGUGGCGAAGGCGGUUUACUGGACAGUAACUGACGUUGAGGCGCGAAAGCGUGGGGAGCAAACAGGAUUAGAUACCCGAGUAGUC
rnacentral:rRNA from 1 species